rnacentral:lncRNA from 1 species
UGGACUUUGUGGAUGGAUCAGGGAGAAAGACAAUGACUUGCACUGGGAACCAAUCAGGGACCCAGCAGGAAUCACAAAGAUGAUUAAAGGGUUGGAAAAAAAGAUCUAUGAUGGAAAAUUAAAGGAACUGGGAUUAUUGAGCCUGGAGAAGAGAAGACUGAGGGGCAAACCAUUGAUGGUUUUCAAGUAUAUGAAGGGUUGGCACAGAGAGGGUGGCGACCAGCUGUUCUCCAUAUGCACUAAGAAUAGAACAAGAGGAAACUGGCUUAGACUAGAGUAUAAGGGAGCAUUUCUUGGCAGGGGCCAUUGUUAGAAUACUUCAUAAAAAAAGAAGUGUGAAAAUCUCAGUAUCUCUCUCUCUUUCUAAAAAAUUAGAUAAAAAUUUGUCUAUUUAAGAUGGUUAAAGAUGUUCUUACCCAAGGAAAAGUAACAAAUUAUAGAAUUUCCCAAAAGAUGUUUUGAUCCUACUAGUAGUAUGCAGUGAAAAUCUUUAGAACUAAAUAAUUUGGACAAGGCUUAAUUUAGGCAUUUCCCUCUUGACCUCCUAAUGGAGAGGGAUUGAAAGGGGAAGAGCCCACCAAAUGCUGAGCUCACUGAAAUAUCUCUCCCUUAUGGCAAUCCUAGCAGUAUUAAAGAAAAAAGGAAACUAUUUAUUCCAAAUGAGAGUAUGAUGGACAGAUAUUUUAGUAUCUCAGUAAUGUCCUAGUGUGGCGGUGGUUUUCAAUGUUUCUUCAUGUUAAAGGUAUAAGCCUUUCAUUUGUUCAAUGGAUGAUGUUUCAGAUUUUUUUUUUUUUAAGAGAUCCUUCAAGGAACACAGUUCAGAGAGAUUUUCAUCGGGUGCAUUCUCUCUGCUUCGUGUGUGACAAGUUAUCUUGGCUGCUGAGAAAGAGUGCCCUGCCCCACACCGGCAGACCUUUCCUUCACCUCAUCAGUAUGAUUCAGUUUCUCUUAUCAAUUGGACUCUCCCAGGUUCCACAGAACAGUAAUAUUUUUUGAACAAUAGGUACAAUAGAAGGUCUUCUGUCAUUUAACCUGGUAAAGGCAGGGCUGGAGGGGGAAAAUAAAUCAUUAAGCCUUUGAGUAACGGCAGAAUAUAUGGCUGUAGAUCCAUUUUUAAUGGUUCAUUUCCUUUAUGGUCAUAUAACUGCACAGCUGAAGAUGAAAGGGGAAAAUAAAUGAAAAUUUUACUUUUCGAUGCCAAUGAUACAUUGCACUAAACUGAUGGAAGAAGUUAUCCAAAGUACUGUAUAACAUCUUGUUUAUUAUUUAAUGUUUUCUAAAAUAAAAAAUGUUAGUGGUUUUCCAAAUGGCCUAAUAAAAACAAUUAUUUGUAAAUAAAAACACUGUUAGUAAU